rnacentral:rRNA from 1 species
AUGGAGCCGACCUUGAAAUACCACCCUUUAAUGUUUGAUGUUCUAACGUUGACCCGUAAUCCGGGUUGCGGACAGUGUCUGGUGGGUAGUUUGACUGGGGCGGUCUCCUCCUAAAGAGUAACGGAGGAGCACGAAGGUUGGCUAAUCCUGGUCGGACAUCAGGAGGUUAGUGCAAUGGCAUAAGCCAGCUUGACUGCGAGCGUGACGGCGCGAGCAGGUGCGAAAGCAGGUCAUAGUGAUCCGGUGGUUCUGAAUGGAAGGGCCAUCGCUCAACGGAUAAAAGGUACUCCGGGGAUAACAGGCUGAUACCGCCCAAGAGUUCAUAUCGACGGCGGUGUUUGGCACCUCGAUGUCGGCUCAUCACAUCCUGGGGCUGAAGUAGGUCCCAAGGGUAUGGCUGUUCGCCAUUUAAAGUGGUACGCGAGCUGGGUUUAGAACGUCGUGAGACAGUUCGGUCCCUAUCUGCCGUGGGCGCUGGAGAACUGAGGGGGGCUGCUCCUAGUACGAGAGGACCGGAGUGGACGCAUCACUGGUGUUCGGGUUGUCAUGCCAAUGGCACUGCCCGGUAGCUAAAUGCGGAAGAGAUAAGUGCUGAAAGCAUCUAAGCACGAAACUUGC